rnacentral:lncRNA from 1 species
AAUAAGUGGAUGGUUUUUAUUAUGACUAAAGAGAGAUUUAGGUGGAAACACUAAAAGUCUAGUGUGUUGCAUCAUGCAUGCAUAAUAUAUCGCCAUAUAGAAGCUUACAACAAUGUUGUUUGGAUGCGAAAGUUCAUUUAUGAACUCUCCAUUUGGUUCCAACCAAAAAGUGCCACUAGUGUACCUCCAUUAUGACACUAAUAGGGUGAUAGGUCAAGCCAGGGAAUCAAGGUCUCAUUAAGAUCUGAACGUAGUUGAGAGACUGAACCACAUGAUUGAGAAUCAUAUAUAAUGGUGACGUCUUUAAUCUCAAGGUUGCUUCUUUGGAUAACAUAUAGAUAUCCACUGUCUAGGCAUGUUACUCAUCUAUUUAUGAAAUGACUUCAGAAGAGGUAUCAUCAUUGAUGACAAGCUGAUUGGCUCUA